rnacentral:rRNA from 1 species
AUUGAACGCUGGCGGCAGGCCUAACACAUGCAAGUCGAGCGGGGUUUUCGGACCUAGCGGCGGACGGGUGAGUAAUGCGUAGGAAGCUGCCCGAUAGAGGGGGAUACCAGUCGGAAACGACUGUUAAUACCGCAUAAUGUCUACGGACCAAAGUGUGGGACCUUCGGGCCACAUGCUAUCGGAUGCGCCUACGUGGGAUUAGCUAGUUGGUGAGGUAAUGGCUCACAAAGGCGACGAUCUCUAGCUGGUUUGAGAAGAUGAUCAGCCACACUGGAACUGAGACACGGUCCAGACUCCUACGGGAGGCAGCAGUGGGGAAUAUUGGACAAUGGGCGCAAGCCUGAUCAGCCAUGCCGCGUGUGUGAAGAAGGCCUUCGGGUUGUAAAGCACUUUCAGCGAGGAGGAAGGGUGGCGUGUUAAUAGCACAUCAUUUUGACGUUACUCGCAGAAGAAGCACCGGCUAACUCUGUGCCAGCCGCCGCGGUAAUAC